rnacentral:rRNA from 1 species
AUUGAACGCUGGCGGCAGGCCUAACACAUGCAAGUCGAACGGUAACAGGAAGAAGCUUGCUUCUUUGCUGACGAGUGGCGGACGGGUGAGUAAUGUCUGGGAAACUGCCUGAUGGAGGGGGAUAACUACUGGAAACGGUAGCUAAUACCGCAUAACGUCGCAAGACCAAAGAGGGGGACCUUCGGGCCUCUUGCCAUCGGAUGUGCCCAGAUGGGAUUAGCUAGUAGGUGGGGUAACGGCUCACCUAGGCGACGAUCCCUAGCUGGUCUGAGAGGAUGACCAGCCACACUGGAACUGAGACACGGUCCAGACUCCUACGGGAGGCAGCAGUGGGGAAUAUUGCACAAUGGGCGCAAGCCUGAUGCAGCCAUGCCGCGUGCAUGAAGAAGGCCUUCGGGUUGUAAAGUACUUUCAGCGGGGAGGAAGGGAGUAAAGUUAAUACCUUUACUCAUUGACGUUACCCGCAGAAGAAGCACCGGCUAACUCCGU